UACGUAGGGACCAAGCGUUGUCCGGAAUUAUUGGGCGUAAAGAGCUCGUAGGCGGUUUGUCGCGUCUGCUGUGAAAACUCGGGGCUUAACUCCGGGCCUGCAGUGGGUACGGGCAGACUAGAGUGCGGUAGGGGAGACUGGAAUUCCUGGUGUAGCGGUGAAAUGCGCAGAUAUCAGGAGGAACACCGGUGGCGAAGGCGGGUCUCUGGGCCGUAACUGACGCUGAGGAGCGAAAGCGUGGGGAGCGAACAGG
rnacentral:rRNA from 1 species